UUAUGUACAUGUCUAUAACGUUAAUGCAUUAGAUCCCAUUAGAACAUUGCAGUUAAGCACACUUAGGAUAGAGUAGUACUAGGAUGGGAGACCUCCCAGGAAGUCCUAGUGUUUUACAUGAC
rnacentral:rRNA from 1 species